GACAGAGGGUGCAAGCGUUGUUCGGAAUUACUGGGCGUAAAGCGUGUGUAGGCGGCCACGUAAGUCGGAUGUGAAAGCCCUGGGCUCAACCCAGGAAGUGCACUCGAUACUGCGUGGCUCGAGUACUGGAGAGGUUGGUGGAAUUCUCGGUGUAGAGGUGAAAUUCGUAGAUAUCGAGAGGAACACCGGUGGCGAAGGCGGCCAACUGGACAGAUACUGACGCUGAGACACGAAAGCGUGGGGAGCAAACAGG
rnacentral:rRNA from 1 species